rnacentral:rRNA from 1 species
UACGGAGGGGACUAGCGUUGUUCGGAAUUAUUGGGCGUAAAGAGCUCGUAGGCGGCUUGUCACGUCGGUUGUGAAAGCCCGGGGCUUAACCCCGGGUCUGCAGUCGAUACGGGCAGGCUAGAGUGUGGUAGGGGAGAUCGAAUUCCUGGUGUAGCGGUGAAAUGCGCAGAUAUCAGGAGGAACACCGGUGGCGAAGGCGGAUCUCUGGGCCAUUACUGACGCUGAGGAGCGAAAGCGUGGGAGCGAACAGG